rnacentral:rRNA from 1 species
ACAGAGGGUGCGAGCGUUAAUCGGAAUUACUGGGCGUAAAGCGUGCGUAGGCGGUUAGUUAAGUCAGAUGUGAAAGCCCUGGGCUCAACCUGGGAAUUGCAUUUGAUACUGGUUAACUUGAGUAUGGGAGAGGGAAGUGGAAUUUCCGGAGUAGCGGUAAAAUGCGUAGAGCUCGGGAGGAACACCGAUGGCGAAGGCAGCUUCUUGGUCCAUCCCUGACGUUGAGACACGAAAGCGUGGGGAGCAAACAG